UGGGGUGUAGAUCAAUGGUAGAGUGUGUGCUUACCAUGUGCAUGGUCAUAGGUUUUAUUCCUAGUACCAAAA
rnacentral:tRNA from 1 species